GCCCUGAAAAAAAAUGUUUGUUUCACCCUCAGCUGCCACUAUAUAUAAUGCUAAAAUUGAUUUCGACUUGUCACCAAAAUUUGUCCUAAAAAAAUCAAAAGCUCACGCCCCCCUCCCCCUCCACAAAAAUUUAAGUAAAUAGUUGCUGCCUAAUUCAUUUGAAAAGGUCUUCCCGAAUCGACUUGACGUACACGGAAAUAUUCGCCACUGGUCUUUACUCAAAAAACGAUUCACGCAUAAAUGCAUGACUAAAAAAAAUGUGAGGUAAAUGAUCUGUUUGUCUAGUAUCUCAGUUCCGUUAAAUAACACGUAAAAUAAAUUUAAAAAACGUUACCCUAUUCCUUUACCAAAUAUUCCUUGGAGAAGAAAAACCAUUUGAAACGAACAGAAAAGAUAAAAAUGUAGUGAUCCAUAAUAUCUCAAUCCUUUUUUUUCCGGCUGUAAGCACGCUGUUGCAGCUAACGUUUUCUAAUGCGUUAUCGAGACAUCUCUAGUGAUAUUCAAACUACUGCAAAUUAUAAAAAUGGC
rnacentral:lncRNA from 1 species